GGCGGACGUAGCCAAGUGGAUCAAGGCAGU
rnacentral:tRNA from 8 species